GACGAACGCUGGCGGCGUGCCUAAUACAUGCAAGUCGAACGAACCGCGACUAAGUGCUUGCACUAAGUCAAGGUGAGUGGCGAACGGGUGAGUAACACGUGGGUAACCUACCUCAUAGUGGGGGAUAACAGUCGGAAACGACUGCUAAUACCGCAUAGGACAUAGGAUCACAUGAUCCAGUGAGGAAAGGUGGCGCAAGCUAUCGCUAAGAGAUGGACCCGCGGUGCAUUAGCUAGUUGGUAGGGUAAAGGCCUACCAAGGCGAUGAUGCAUAGCCGACCUGAGAGGGUGAUCGGCCACAUUGAGACUGAGACACGGCCCAAACUCCUACGGGAGGCAGCAGUAGGGAAUCUUCCGCAAUGGACGCAAGUCUGACGGAGCAACGCCGCGUGAGUGAAGAAGGUCUUCGGAUCGUAAAGCUCUGUUGUUAGAGAAGAACAGCGCAUAGAGUAACUGCUAUGCGUGUGACGGUAUCUAACCAGAAAGCCACGGCUAACUACGUG
rnacentral:rRNA from 1 species